CACAGGUUCUGCCUAUACGCCAGGGAAGGAGAUUAUCCAAGAGGGAAGCUAUUUUGAAUUCGGCCUACUACAUCUACCUUGGGAUAGAUAAUGGUUUAGCUGGGAAAUAAAACCACACAUCUAUGGACAGCUAAUCUUUGGCAAAGGAACCAAGAACGUACAAUGGAGAAAGGAAAGCGUCUUGAACAAAUGGUGUUGGGAAAACUGGACAGCCACAUGCAAAAAAAAACAAAGUAGACCAUUAUCUUACACCAUACACAAAAAUUAAUUCAAAAUGGAUUAAAGACUUGAAUGUAAGACCAGAAACCAUAAAACUGCUAGAAAACAUACGCAGUAUGCUCUUUGACUUCAGUCUUAGCAAUAGCUUUUGUGUAACUUUUAAACGGUGGUCAAGGACUUCUUCUCGGUCCCCACCAACUCUCCCUAAUUUACCUGGAGACUGACCUUUUUGAACCAACAAAAAUACUGAAAGACAGCACUACAAAGUUGAAGGUUGAAGAGAAGUUGAGAACUCUGGAAUUGCUGGGGAAACAUUUACCCUACUGACAACAAAUGAGGAACAACAAACUAGACAAGACUGAAAAAAUUAAAUGGAAUUGAAUUCCACUGGGUAGUGCAUUAAGAAUAUUUGUUUUCUAAAGUUGAAAGUCCAAUUAAAUGAAAAUAAUUUCAACUCAAAGUUUUCUUGGAUUUGGCUUUUCGGUAGGUGUGUGAAAUAACUAAUUGAGUUGAAUCCUUCUUUGUUGUUUUUUAAAUGCUUAUUAAUCUUCUCUGAUUGCAAAAGUGAAUGUCCUUCUGUAGAAAACUUGAAAGUUGUGUAAGAGAAUAACAAAAAUAAAAUUUGCUUGUUACCACAUGGAAAAAAUCUGUUAAUAUUUGUAUCUUUCUAGAUAGAUUUUCCUUCAAAGUUUGGUUGAUUUGAUAGUGAGAAUAGCUGGUUUUAAUUUGUAUUUUUGGUUACUAGUAUGAACAACUUACCACAUUGUUUAUUGGCCAAUUUUCAUGUACCAACUUUUCUUUAGGCGUCUUAGAUUUUUCUUAUUGAUUUCAAUAAGCUCUUUCGAUCAAAAGAAAAUUACUAAUCUGUUUUUUGUCACAUUCAUGGCAAAUAUUUUUUUCCAAGUUUCUUUACUGCCUAUUAUUUUUGCAUUGUUUUUAUUCAGAGUUUGCCUUUUUGUAGUCAUGCAUACUUGUUAUUAAAGCAAAAAAAAUUGCUUGUUU
rnacentral:lncRNA from 1 species